AUUGAACGCUGGCGGCAGGCCUAACACAUGCAAGUCGAGCGGAUGAAGGGAGCUUGCUCCUGGAUUCAGCGGCGGACGGGUGAGUAAUGCCUAGGAAUCUGCCUGGUAGUGGGGGAUAACGUCCGGAAACGGGCGCUAAUGCCGCAUACGUCCUGAGGGAGAAAGUGGGGGAUCUUCGGACCUCACGCUAUCAGAUGAGCCUAGGUCGGAUUAGCUAGUUGGUGGGGUAAAGGCCUACCAAGGCGACGAUCCGUAACUGGUCUGAGAGGAUGAUCAGUCACACUGGAACUGAGACACGGUCCAGACUCCUACGGGAGGCAGCAGUGGGGAAUAUUGGACAAUGGGCGAAAGCCUGAUCCAACCAUGCCGCGUGUGUGAAGAAGGUCUUCGGAUUGUAAAGCACUUUAAGUUGGGAGGAAGGGCAGUAAGUUAAUACCUUGCUGUUUUGACGUUACCAACAGAAUAAGCACCGGCUAACUUCGUG
rnacentral:rRNA from 1 species